CAUACUUUUAAUUUGUCAGGUCAGCUAAAGUGGGUGGUUAGUAGAGAAAAGUGAUCUUGUGAGCUGGCAAGUUGUUCUUCCAUUCCUCCUUCCGUGUAUUUGUGUGGGGUUCAGUCUCAAGGCUCAAGACCACUUGCGCCAGCAGCGUGUGUCAGCAAGAUAGCAGAAGCAGGAAGAGAGCUGGCUGGAAGACACAUACCCCGUGAAGACCAAGAGAGAAGCCAUCCGGGUACUGCGUAGCAGUUACAUCAGACGGAGACACUUCCUGUUUACAGGAGACUAUAAAGCCCCUGCCCUGUCCUCAUUUGGUGCUGAUGCCAUUUUAGGCCUCAGGCCCUCUACACCCAGGCACUCAUUAAAACAGUGUGUUGCUCCACGCCAUCUUGUGUUGUCUCUUGGCGCACUCUCAGGGUUCGAACCCAUACAAAAGCCUUGCAUCAUACUAUCUCCCUUUCGCCCUCAUGAGACGCUGCGCAACACCAAAGGCACCCUCUUUUCAUAGUCCCUUUGAAAUCACCUAUGGCCGAACUUUUGUCUUGGGGCCUCCACCCUUACCAGACUCUGAGCCACUCGGGAAUUAUCUCCCCUCCUUAAUCCAGACAAUGUCUUUCAUUCUUGAAGCAGGAAAUGAGGCCAUGCCCCUUCCUGUCAACAUCUCCUUGUCCUCUCAACAUAACUGUCUUGCAGGCACAGAUGUGUUUAUCUGCCAACUCGACCCUCACAAAAACCUACAACCGAAGUGGACAGGCCCCGUACACUGUGAUACUCAGCACGCCAACUGCAGUGAGAGUCCAAGGACUCCCCCACUGGACCCAUCGCACCAGGAUCAAGCUCACCCCCAAGACUACUCCUUCCUCCAAAACAUUAACAGCGGGCAACACCCUCAGAGUCCCUGUAUAUAAUAACCGAAACAACAACAACAACAACAAAAUGAUCCUUAAAGGUAGGAGGAAGCCAAAGAUGGCAACAGGACAAAUGGCCUCCACAACAGAUCAUGGAGUAUUACAGUCCUGCCACUUGGGCUGAGGAUGGUUCACGGGGUUAUCGGACUCCCAUAUAUAUGCUAAAUAGAAUAAUAAGACUACAGGCGGUUCUAGAGAUAAUCACUAAACAAACCGCCUCAGCCCUGGAAAUGCUUGCGCAACAACAAAACUAAAUGAGCACAGCAAUUUAUCAAAACAGGCUAGCACUAGACUACUUAUUAGCAGAAGGUGGGGUCUGUGGUAAGUUUAAUAUCUCCAACUGUUGUCUUAACAUAGACGAUAACAGAAAAGCAGUACUAGAAAUCCCUUCAAACAUCAGAAAAGUAGCCCACAUACCAGCCUAAAGCUGGAAGGGAUGGGACCCAAUAAACGUUCUAGGAGGGUGGUUCUCUAAUUUAGGAGGAUUUAAAACACUGGAAGGAACAGUAAUCUUCAUCAUUGGGUUCCUCCUAUUUCUCCCCCGUGUUAUCUCACUAAUAAUAAAAGCUAUUAAAAGUCUUGUUGAAACUACGGUUAACCGCCAGACAAUCCAGACGAUGCUCCUGCUGCAAUGACACUAUGAAUACCAACCCAUCUCUCAAGAAUACCCCCCAAAUUAAGUUUUUCUGUUUCCAAGGUGCCCCCCACCCCCCAUAUCACGACUGAAGCAGUCAUUGAGAACGUCCCUUUUCCCUUUUUCCAUAACCAAAUAGACUUUCCCCAGGGCCUGGAAGCUCGGCAGGGGGUGAAUAACUCCUCCCUCCUCAGGCUCAGUCCCAAGGCACAAGGCCACUGACGCCAGCAGCCUGCGUCAGCAAGAUAACAGAAGCAGGAAGAGAGCUGGCUGGAAGACACAUACCCCCUGAAGACCGAGAGAGAGGCCAUCCGGGUACUGCGUAGCAGUUACAUCAGACUGAGACACUUCCUGUUUACAGGAGACUAUAAAGCCCCUGCCCUGUCCUCAUUUGAUGCUGAUGCCAUUUUAGGCCUCAGCCCGUCUGCACCCAGGCGCUCAUUAAAACAGUGUGUUGCU